rnacentral:rRNA from 1 species
CCGAACUUAGUUAUAGCUGGUUGCCUAAGAAAUGAAUAGAAGUUCAGCCUCGCACCCCUCAACUCACAAACAUUAUUUAAAUACAUGAACCAGAGAAACAUGCGAGAGUUAGUCAAAGGGGGUACAGCCCCUUUGAAACAGAGUACAACCUCACCAGGAGGUUAAAGAUUAUAAUAAAUAAGAUACACCGCUUUAGUGGGCCUAAAAGCAGCCAUCUAAAUAGAAAGCGUUAAAGCUCCUGCGGAUUAAAAAUUUAUUAUACAAAUAUCUUAUCCAAAACCCCUAAUUCUAUUAGGCCCUUCCAUGCCUGCAUGGAAAAGAUACUGCUAAAAUGAGUAAUAAGAAGGAACAUCCUUCUCCAAAGCCUCUGUGUACGCUAGACCGGACCUCCCACUAGCAAUUACCGAACCCAACAAAAGAGGGCAAUGUGGCAUUACUAAAUAACAAGAAAUACCCACAACCCAAAUCGUUAACCCCACACCGGAAGGCUUUUUAAAGGAAAGACUAAAAGAAGAGGAAGGAACUCGGCAAACACAAGCCUCGCCUGUUUACCAAAAACAUCGCCUCCUGCAAAACCCAAUAUAUAGGAGGUCUUGCCUGCCCAGUGACUAGU